rnacentral:rRNA from 1 species
CAGUCGCCACGGUAAUACAGAGGGUGCGAGCGUUAAUCGGAUUUACUGGGCGUAAAGCGUGCGUAGGCGGCUUUUUAAGUCGGAUGUGAAAUCCCUGAGCUUAACUUAGGAAUUGCAUUCGAUACUGGGAAGCUAGAGUAUGGGAGAGGAUGGUAGAAUUCCAGGUGUAGCGGUGAAAUGCGUAGAGAUCUGGAGGAAUACCGAUGGCGAAGGCAGCCAUCUGGCCUAAUACUGACGCUGAGGUACGAAAGCAUGGGGAGCAAACAGGAUUAGAUACACCAGUAGUCCCUGUCUCUUAUAC